rnacentral:rRNA from 1 species
UACGGAGGUCCCAAGCGUUGUUCGGAUUCACUGGGCGUAAAGAGUACGUAGGCGGCCUGUUAAGUCUGAUGUGAAAGCUCCGAGCUCAACUCGGAAAUUGCAUUGGAUACUGGCAGGCUAGAGAUCCGGAGGGGAGACUGGAAUUCUCGGUGUAGCAGUGAAAUGCGUAGAUAUCGAGAGGAACACCAGUGGCGAAGGCGAGUCUCUGGACGGUUUCUGACGCUGAGGUACGAAAGUUAGGGUAGCAAAC